AACGCUGGCGGCAGGCCUAACACAUGCAAGUCGAGCGGUAGCACAGAGAGCUUGCUCUCGGGUGACGAGCGGCGGACGGGUGAGUAAUGUCUGGGAAACUGCCUGAUGGAGGGGGAUAACUACUGGAAACGGUAGCUAAUACCGCAUAAUGUCGCAAGACCAAAGUGGGGGACCUUCGGGCCUCAUGCCAUCAGAUGUGCCCAGAUGGGAUUAGCUAGUAGGUGGGGUAACGGCUCACCUAGGCGACGAUCCCUAGCUGGUCUGAGAGGAUGACCAGCCACACUGGAACUGAGACACGGUCCAGACUCCUACGGGAGGCAGCAGUGGGGAAUAUUGCACAAUGGGCGCAAGCCUGAUGCAGCCAUGCCGCGUGUGUGAAGAAGGCCUUCGGGUUGUAAAGCACUUCAGCGGGGAGGAAG
rnacentral:rRNA from 1 species